AUGUAGCUGCAGCUGUACUCGGGGAGCUGCGGCGGCUCCGACCUGCCGCCUGGCGCUGCCAUGACCUGCGAGCCAGAGGACAGCGAGGAGGGAGGACACGCGAGGAAAUGACAUUUGAAGAGAGACUAAAGGAUGAGAAAAAGACAGCCUUCCUGGAAGAGGAAACAGCAAAUGCAAAAACUCUGAGUUAGGAAAGAACUUGAUGCACUUGAGAAACAAAAAGAAGGCCGGCAAGACUGAAAUCCACAUAAGUCAGACCCGGGCACAGCAAACUGGACGUCCUCAGUAUAUAUGUGGCAACUGAAACCAGGCAUUUAGGACAUGAUCUCAUUCUGUUGCCCAGGGUGAGUGCAGUGGCACCUUCAUGGCUCAUUGCAGUCUCGAUCUCCCAGGCUCAAGCGAUCCUCCCACCUCAGCCUCCCAAAGUGCUGGGAUUGCAGGCGUGAGCCACCUUGCCCAGCCCAUUCUGCAAUCUUCGGAAGGAAGUCACUAUAUGCAGCCUAUGCUUGAGGAGUGGGGAGUUGAAUUCCACAUCCUUGAGGGCAGAAUACCUAAAUAAAUUAUUUGGAAUUCUUCUGCAAGAGA
rnacentral:lncRNA from 1 species